CCCGGGGACAAGAGGUGCACUUUGGAGAGGCUGAUGUAUUCGUGACAGGGAUCCUGAGGAGCCAGCACUGCUGGAAGACUCUGAGCCUGUUUUAGACAGUUUGCCGGUACUUCUGUUACUUGAUGAGCUAUCUCCUCUUGUCAGGACGGUUAUGCCACCAAAACUUGCUGUCUUUGUUAUGGCUGGCUUCAAAUUUCGAUUUGAACUGUCCGAGUCUGUGCUGCUCCAUGGCCUCUGGUGGUCUGUCCAUUUCAAUUCAUUCUCCGUGCUGCUCUGCCGACUGCCAGAUGCCUUCCCUGUGCUAUCUCUGUUACCCCUAAACAGCUGUCUUUUCUUAUGGGUAUCAUUGCAUAUACUACUGUCUUCCAAGAGCCUAAUUCUGGUAUUGCUGGUCUUGUUGAUAAUUACAGAUUUCCCAGUUUGAUCCACAUUGUGAUCCAUCCCAAAGUAAGCUGCCACUCUGUGUACCAGCAUCCUCUGAUAUGAUGACAUCUGAGGAAACUUUUUAUAGUGAUUAUUGUUGUCACUAAUAAAAUCAAUAAUUUCCUGUUCCAUUUUCAAGAGUAUCAUCCUGUCCCUGGGGUUAUUCUUUAACGUGUUAAUGAGAAACUCAUGCAGAUC
rnacentral:lncRNA from 1 species